rnacentral:sRNA from 13 species
GAAUACGCGCAAAAUGUUAUCAUCCCUAUUUCUCUAUAGAAUUUAUUCAGCCACACAAAUUUUAGUGUGGCUUUUU